GAAAUCAACCGAGAUUCCCCCAGUAGCGGCGAGCGAACGGGGAGCAGCCCAGAGUCUGAAUCAGCUUGUGUGUUAGUGGAACGGUCUGGAAAGUCCGACGGUACAGGGUGAUAGUCCCGUACACCAAAAUGCACAGGUUGUGAACUCGAAGAGUAGGGCGGGACACGUGGUAUCCUGUCUGAAUAUGGGGGGACCAUCCUCCAAGGCUAAAUACUCCUGACUGACCGAUAGUGAACCAGUACCGUGAGGGAAAGGCGAAAAGAACCCCGGCGAGGGGAGUGAAAAAGAACCUGAAACCGUGUACGUACAAGCAGUGGGAGCACCUUCGGGUGUGACUGCGUACCUUUUGUAUAAUGGGUCAGCGACUUAUAUUCUGUAGCAAGGUUAACCGUAUAGGGGAGCCGCAGGGAAACCGAGUCUUAACUGGGCGUUAAGUUGCAGGGUAUAGACCCGAAACCCGGUGAUCUAGCCAUGGGCAGGUUGAAGGUUGGGUAACACUAACUGGAGGACCGAACCGACUAAUGUUGAAAAAUUAGCGGAUGACUUGUGGCUGGGGGUGAAAGGCCAAUCAAACCGGGAGAUAGCUGGUUCUCCCCGAAAGCU
rnacentral:rRNA from 1 species